AAAAACAUCACACUUUUUCCUACUCUGUCUUCUAAAAGUAAUGGAUGUUCCAGUGGUCUUUGCUCACACAACUGGAUUGGGUAUGGAAAUAGUUACUAUUAGUUUUCCAGUGAAGCCAAAACCUGGGCAGAAAGCCAAUCUGCCUGUGCAGAGCUGAAUUCUCAACCUCUCAAAGUAGACUCUGAAGAAGACCUGAAACUGCCUUCAGUGAUUGAAACGACAUGAUGGAGAGCUUUCAAAACCAAUGAAAACAAUGGAUCCAGGGUGAGGGAAAAUGUCUCCCAACUGAAGGACAGCUUGUAAGUACAAUGU
rnacentral:lncRNA from 1 species